rnacentral:rRNA from 1 species
UAGGGAAUCUUCGGCAAUGGGGGGAACCCUGACCGAGCAACGCCGCGUGAGUGAAGAAGGUUUUCGGAUCGUAAAGCUCUGUUGUUAAGGAAGAACGAGUGUGAGAAUGGAAAGUUCAUGCUGUGACGGUACUUAACCAGAAAGGGACGGCUAACUACGUGCCAGCAGCCGCGGUAAUACGUAGGUCCCGAGCGUUGUCCGGAUUUAUUGGGCGUAAAGCGAGCGCAGGCGGUUAGAAAAGUCUGAAGUGAAAGGCAGUGGCUCAACCAUUGUAGGCUUUGGAAACUGUUUAACUUGAGUGCAGAAGGGGAGAGUUGCAUUCCAUGUGUAGCGGUGAAAUGCGUAGAUAUAUGGAGGAACUCCGGUGGCGAAAGCGGCUCUCUGGUCUGUAACUGACGCUGAGGCUCGAAAGCGUGGGGAGCGAACAGG